rnacentral:lncRNA from 10 species
AUUGCAGCACUGUUCACAAUAGCAAAGACUUGGAACCAACCCAAAUGCCCAUCAAUGAUAUACUGGAUAAAGUAAAUUUGGGACAUAUGCAACACAGAAUUCUUUUUUUUUUUUUUCUUUCAGCCAUUUCUUUUUAUUUACAGUUUGUGUUCAAUGCAAAUCAAUUCCAUAAGAAGUUACUAUGAAUCAAAGCGUAAAUACACAAACACAAUAUACAAUCCAAAAUAGAUGUACAGCAUUCUGGAAUAAAGCAAAAGAGUGUUCAUUCACACACACAGUAGCUUCAAAACGGUUCGAUCUGUUUGUUCUCAUGUAGUUUUGUAAAGAUGGAAAAAAAGGACUUUGGUCAUCAAGACUACUGUGGCCAUAUUAGAUUACUGGAACAUCUAAGCAUCAGUGUGUGACCAUGCGAACAAAAGACUUCGGGGAGUGUCUAUUUUUAAAAAGGUUUCUGUGUUUCGAGGCAGUUGUAAAAGAUUUACUGCAGAAUCAAGCCCACUUUUAGGCUUAGGACCAGGUUCUAACUAUCUAAAAAUAUUGACUGAUAACAAAAAGUAUUCCAAAUGUGGCUAUUCUGAUCCAUAGUUGUUUUUUAAAGAAAAAAAAGUAUAUACAGAAAGAGUAUAAAAGUUUGUGAAUUUAAUGCAAAUUAGCUUCCAGUCUUCACUUCCCAAAUACUUGAUUUGUAGUUUUGACUCCUUUACAUUUUUGCCUUCUUAAUUUCAAGAUUUGCAAUUUUGCCUUCAAAACAGAUCUUUUUUUUUAAUUGUAAAAAGUAUUCAACAUAUGCAGAAAUAAAAAGCAUUUUGAUGGCUGGGCGCGGGGGCUCAAGCCUGUAAUCCCAGCACUUUGGGAGGCCGAGGCAGGUGGAUCACCUGAGGUCAGGAGUUCGAAACCAGCCUGGGCAACAUGGUGAAACCCUGUCUCUACUAAAAUUACAAAAAUUAGCCGGGCAUGGUGGCAGGUGCCUGUAAUCCCAGCUACUUGGGAGGCUGAGGCAGGAGAAUCGCUUGAGCCCGGGAGGCAAAUGGUACACUGAUCUGAGAUCACACCACUGCACUCCAGCCUGGGCGACAAAGUGAGACUGUCUAAAAAAUAAUAAUAAUAAAAAGCAUUUUGAAAUUAGUCGCGGUCAAUGCAAUUCUACUCUUUGGAAUCCGUUUAGCUAAAUGAAUGUAGUGCUCUUGUUGAAUGGAAAUAGUAGAGAUGCAGAAGAGAGAGUGAGACCACGA